rnacentral:rRNA from 1 species
GACGAACCGUACGAACUGUUAUUCGGAAUCACUGGGCUUAAAGGGUGCGUAGGCUGCGCGGAAAGUUGGGUGUGAAAUCCCUCGGCUCAACCGAGGAACUGCGCCCAAAACUGCCGUGCUCGAGGGAGACAGAGGUGAGCGGAACUUAGGGUGGAGCGGUGAAAUGCGUUGAUAUCCUAAGGAACACCGGUGGCGAAAGCGGCUCACUGGGUCUCUUCUGACGCUGAGGCACGAAAGCUAGGGUAGCGAACGGG